GAUGAACGCUGGCGGCGUGCCUAAUACAUGCAAGUCGAGCGAACAGACGAGGAGCUUGCUCCUCUGACGUUAGCGGCGGACGGGUGAGUAACACGUGGAUAACCUACCUAUAAGACUGGGAUAACUUCGGGAAACCGGAGCUAAUACCGGAUAAUAUAUUGAACCGCAUGGUUCAAUAGUGAAAGACGGUUUUGCUGUCACUUAUAGAUGGAUCCGCGCCGCAUUAGCUAGUUGGUAAGGUAACGGCUUACCAAGGCAACGAUGCGUAGCCGACCUGAGAGGGUGAGGGGCCCCACGGAAAGAGAGACACGCCCAGUACCCUUACGGGGGAAGGAAGGGGGAAAUCUUCCGAAAGGGGGUAAGCGCGGAGGAGUAAGCGCCGGGGGGGUAAAGAGGUUCUGGGGUUGUAAAAACUUUUUUAUGGGGAAAAAACAAAUGUGAAAGAAACUAUGCACGUGUGGAGGGAACUAAAUAAAAAGCCCCGGGCAAACUAGGGG
rnacentral:rRNA from 1 species